GACGUAGGGGGCGAGCGUUGUCCGGAUUUAUUGGGCGUAAAGAGCUCGUAGGCGGCUCAGAAAGUCGGGUGUGAAACCUCCAGGCUCAACCUGGAGACGCCACCUGAUACUGCUGUGGCUAGAGUCCGGUAGGGGAACACGGAAUACCCGGUGUAGCGGUGAAAUGCGCAGGUAUCAGGAGGAACACCGGUGGCGAAGGCGGGUCUCUGGGCCGAUACUGACGCUGAGGAGCGAAAGCGUGGGGAGCGAACAGG
rnacentral:rRNA from 1 species